rnacentral:rRNA from 1 species
ACGGGUGAGUAACGCGUAAGUGAUCUACCCCUGUAUCUGGGAUAACUGUGGGAAACUGCAGCUAAUACCGGAUACGUUCAUGUUCUUGCGAGUAUAUGAAGAAAGAUGGCCUCUGAUUCAAGCUAUUGUACAGGGAGGAGCUUGCGUACCAUUAGCUAGUUGGUAGGGUAAUGGCCUACCAAGGCAACGAUGGUUAGCGGGUCUGAGAGGAUGAUCCGCCACACUGGAACUGAAACACGGACCAGACUCC